GACGAACCGUGCGAACGUUAUUCGGAAUCACUGGGCUUAAAGCGCGUGUAGGCGGGACGGCACGUCGGUCGCUGAAAUCCCCCGGCUCAACCGGGGAACGGGCGCCGAUACGACCGCCCUGGAGGGGCGUAGGGGGACCUGGAACUUCCGGUGGAGCGGUGAAAUGCGUUGAGAUCGGAAGGAACGCCCGUGGCGAAAGCGAGGUCCUGGACGUCUACUGACGCUGAGACGCGAAAGCUAGGGGAGCGAACGGG
rnacentral:rRNA from 1 species